rnacentral:misc_RNA from 1 species
GAAAUGCGAUACUUGGUGUGAAUUACAGAAUCUCGCGAACCAUCGAGUCUUUGAACGCAAGUUGCGCCCGAAGCCAUUAGGUUAAGGGCACGUCUGCCUGGCAUCUCAUGUUGCGUCGCCUGCACCCCCUCGAAGGAAGGGCUGUGGGCGGAUGUUGGACCCCCGCGCGCGACCGCGUGCAGUUAGCCCAAAAGCGAGUCCCCCGCGACGGACGACGUGUCGCAACGAGUGGUGGUUCAGAAACCGUUGCAUCGCCUCGCCCGCGUCCAGGCCGUCUUGGCAGGCCUGUCGUGACCCUAUCGCGCCGCUGCCAAGGCGCUCCGAUCGCAACCCCAGGUCAGGUGGGAUUGCCCACUGAGUUUAA